GAUGAACGCUAGCGGCAGGCUUAACACAUGCAAGUCGAGGGGCAGCACAGGUAGCAAUACUGGGUGGCGACCGGCGCACGGGUGCGUAACGCGUAUACAAUUUACCUUUUACUAGGGGAUAGCCCAGAGAAAUUUGGAUUAAUACCCUAUAGUAUUAUCGGAUCGCAUGGUUUGGUAAUUAAAGUUUCGGCGGUAAGAGAUGAGUAUGCGUCCUAUUAGCUAGAUGGUAAGGUAACGGCUUACCAUGGCUAUGAUAGGUAGGGGUCCUGAGAGGGAGAUCCCCCCACACUGGUACGUGAGGACACGGACCGACGAACUCCUACCGGGAGGGCACG
rnacentral:rRNA from 1 species